AUCUCUUCUCAACCUUUUGGCUAAGAUCAAGUGUAGUAUCUGUUCUUAGUUUAAUUAAGGCUGCUGUCUCAUACAAGUUAUUUUAAAUUUAAGAAAUGCUAU
rnacentral:snRNA from 1 species